rnacentral:lncRNA from 1 species
UCAAGUUUAGUUCAAGAGUUGAUAAUUCGGAUGAAUUUUUCUUGCGCUGGAAUAUUUUCUUUGGGCUUUUCGAUGAGAUUUGGAUUGCUAGUUUCCCUUUAGGUCAUGUGAUGUCUCGUUGGCUCGAGUUCACUUGUUUUUUUUUCGUAUAUUGUCUUGUGGCGUUGGAUGUGCUGCCAGUUGGUGCUUCGCUUUAACCUUUUAGGAAAUAUAUGAGGUGCCUUAUCUUUUGCUACUGCUACUUGCUUGGUUCUUGUUGAGGACUAGGUUGUUUUGGGUUGGUUUACGACUGUUUUCUUCUCUUCAUGGUUUACGGUUUCCUUGUUACAUUUAUGGGCGUGAUAAUG